rnacentral:lncRNA from 1 species
UUCGUAUCAUGCAUUGGAAAUUGGAAAAAGAUCUAAGUUACAAACUGGUUUUGCAGCAUUUUAAGACAUUUGUGUAUGGGUUCUGAGUUCCCAACCUACCGCCCUCCAAACUGCCCGCCCCCUGGUUCCCCUACGUUCCCACCCUCCGUUCCCAGAAUCUGAGCGGCAGCUGUGAUCCGACGGCCCACGAUGGUGGAGCCAUUCGAUUGAAUAAGGUGGUUUCUGCGACACGAUUCUACGAGGCUUACCCUCAC